rnacentral:tRNA from 1 species
GCCGAGGUGACAGAGCGGCUAUGUGGCGGACUGCAGAUCCGCAUAAGUGGGUUCAACUCCCGCCCUCGGCU